rnacentral:rRNA from 1 species
GAAGUUUUCAGAGAUGAGAAUGUGCCUUCGGGAACCGUGAGACAGGUGCUGCAUGGCUGUCGUCAGCUCGUGUUGUGAAAUGUUGGGUUAAGUCCCGCAACGAGCGCAACCCUUAUCCUUUGUUGCCAGCGGUUAGGCCGGGAACUCAAAGGAGACUGCCAGUGAUAAACUGGAGGAAGGUGGGGAUGACGUCAAGUCAUCAUGGCCCUUACGACCAGGGCUACACACGUGCUACAAUGGCGCAUACAAAGAGAAGCGACCUCGCGAGAGCAAGUGGACCUCAUAAAGUGCGUCGUAGUCCGGAUUGGAGUCUGCAACUCGACUCCAUGAAGUCGGAAUCGCUAGUAAUCGUGGAUCAGAAUGCCACGGUGAAUACGUUCCCGGGCCUUGUACACACCGCCCGUCACACCAUGGGAGUGGGUUGCAAAAGAAGUAGGUAGCUUAACCUUCGGGAGGGCGCUUACCACUUUGUGAUUCAUGACUGGGGUGAAGUCGUAACAAGGUAACCGUAGGGGAACCUGCGGUUGGAUCACCUCCUUA